rnacentral:rRNA from 1 species
CCAAUAGCGUAUAUUAAAGUUGUUGCGGUUAAAAAGCUCGUAGUUGAACCUUGGGUUUGACUGGCCGGUCCGCCUCACCGCGUGUACUGGUCCGGCCGAACCUUUCCUUCUGGGGAGCCUCAUGCCCUUCGCUGGGUGUGCUGGGGAACCAGGACUUUUACUUUGAAAAAAUUAGAGUGUUCAAAGCAGGCCUAUGCUCGAAUACAUUAGCAUGGAAUAA